UUACGACCAUAUCACGUUGAAACACCGGUUCUCGUACGACCAGCGAAGUUAAGCAACGUCGAGGCUGGUCAGUACCUGGAUGCCUGGCCGCUUGGCAAUCUCAAGCGCUAU